rnacentral:tRNA from 1 species
GCUCUAAUAGUUUAAUAAAAACAUUGGUCUUGUAAACCAAAAUUAAGAUCACUUUUAGAACA